AGACAUGCGUUGAGCACAAAGAGAACUAUUCUUUCACCUUUUAAUUUACUAAAGAAUACCAUGUGCGUGGUGUUAUAAAUGGCAUACGUCUGUUUUUAUAAGUUUGUAAGGGUGAAAAUCU